rnacentral:lncRNA from 1 species
AGCGGCACACUGGAACAGGUUGCUUAAGGAGGUUGUGGAUGCCCCAUCCCUGGAGGCAUUCAAGGCCAGGCUGGAUGUGGCUCUGGGCAGCCUGGUCUGGUGGUUGGCAACGGUUGGUGAAAGGUUUCUGUAGGUCGGUGGAAGUCAUAGGAAUGAAGGACAGCUGGACCUUCGAGCACAGAGCGAUACAACAACAAACUGCACCUGGCACAGAGCAAGAACUACAGCCUUCGGAUCUACAAAGCUAUUGCAGCCUCACACGUUAAGGACCACCCUGCUCUGCUAUGACACAGUCAUAUCCACCUACUGAGCAUGCAGAAGCUGAACAAUUUGUAAGCUGGGCCCUAUCUUUUAGAGAGACAACUGGCCUUAACUAACAAAUUAUUGAUGACUGUGUAAUUCUCCAUCAGAUUAAUAUGUCCCAGUUAAUUAUCUUAACUACAAAGAAUUAUUGGAUGCUAUUUACACUGUGAACUUUGCUGACACCAGAGCCUAAUCUUUCACCAUGUAUUUGCCAAACAGAUUAAAAAUCCCCCUGGUACUGAGCAUCUCAUGCCAGUACCGGUGCUUGCAGGUUGUUCCAAGCAGCUUUUUGUCUUCUCCAUGCCAUGCUGAAACGCUGAAUCUUCUUCCUUCUCAGCCAUAGUUUGCCCCAAGUUCUGCCCAAGUGGAUGGCAACCUUGAGAUCUC